GAUGAAGAACGCAGCGAAAUGCGAUAAGUAAUGUGAAUUGCAGAAUUCAGUGAAUCAUCGAAUCUUUGAACGCACAUUGCGCCCGCCAGUAUUCUGGCGGGCAUGCCUGUUCGAGCGUCAUUUCAACCCUCGAGCCCCCGGGCUUGGUGUUGGGGAUCGGCGUGCCCUCGCGGCGCGCCGUCCCCUAAAUCUAGUGGCGGUCUCGCUGUAGCUUCCUCUGCGUAGUAGCAACACUCGCACUGGAUCGCAGCGCGGCCACGCCGUUAAACCCCCCACUUCUGAAAGUUUGACCUCGGAUCAGGUAGGAAUACCCGCUGAACUUAAGCAUAUCAAUAAGCGGAGGA
rnacentral:misc_RNA from 1 species